rnacentral:rRNA from 1 species
AUUGAACGCUGGCGGCAGGCCUAACACAUGCAAGUCGAGCGGCAGCGGGAAAGUAGCUUGCUACUUUUGCCGGCGAGCGGCGGACGGGUGAGUAAUGCCUGGGAAAUUGCCCAGUCGAGGGGGAUAACAGUUGGAAACGACUGCUAAUACCGCAUACGCCCUACGGGGGAAAGCAGGGGACCUUCGUGCCUUGCGCGAUUGGAUAUGCCCAGGUGGGAAUAGCUAGUUGGUGAGGUAAUGGCUCACCAAGGCGACGAUCCCUAGGUGGUCUGGGAGGAAGAUCAACCACACUGGAACUGGGAAACGGUCCAGACUCCUACGGGAGGGAGCAGUGGGGAAUAUUGGACAAUGGGGGAAACCCUGAUGCAGCCAUGCCGCGUGUGUGAAGAAGGCCUUCGGGUUGUAAAGCACUUUCAGCGAGGAGGAAAGGUUGAUGCCUAAUACGUAUCAACUGUGACGUUACUCGCAGAAGAAGCACCGGCUAACUCCGUGCCAGCCGCCGCGGUAA